rnacentral:rRNA from 1 species
UACAGAGGGUGCGAGCGUUAAUCGGAAUUACUGGGCGUAAAGCGUGCGUAGACGGUUAUGUAAGUCGGGUGUGAAAGCCCCGGGCUCAACCUGGGAAUUGCAUUCGAGACUGCAUAGCUAGGGUGCGGAAGAGGGAAGCGGAAUUUCCGGUGUAGCGGUGAAAUGCGUAGAUAUCGGAAGGAACAUCAGUGGCGAAAGUGGCUUCCUGGUCCAGCACCGACGUUCAGGCACGAAAGCGUGGGGAGCAAACAGG